CAACAGGGAUUGCUUAGUACGGCGAGUGAAGCGGCAAAAGCUCAAAUUUGAAAUCUAGCACUUUCAGUGUUCGAGUUGUAAUUUGAAGAAGGUAACUUUGGAAUUGGCUCUUGUCUAUGUUCCUUGGAACAGGACGUCACAGAGGGUGAGAAUCCCGUGCGAUGAGAUGUCCAAUUCUAUGUAAAGUGCUUUCGAAGAGUCGAGUUGUUUGGGAAUGCAGCUCUAAGUGGGUGGUAAAUUCCAUCUAAAGCUAAAUAUUGGCGAGAGACCGAUAGCGAACAAGUACAGUGAUGGAAAGAUGAAAAGAACUUUGAAAAGAGAGUGAAAAAGUACGUGAAAUUGUUGAAAGGGAAGGGCUUGAGAUCAGACUUGGUAUUUUGUGUUCCUUAUUCUUUUUGGAUUUGGUUCCUCACAGCUUACCGGGCCAGCAUCGGUUUGGAUGGUAGGAUAAUGACAUUGGAAUGUAGCUUUGCUUCGGUGAAGUGUUAUAGACUUUGUUGAUACUGCCUAUCUAGACCGAGGACUGCGUCUUUGACUAGGAUGCUGGCGUAAUGAUCUUAAGCCGCCCGUCUUGAACACGGACC
rnacentral:rRNA from 1 species